GAUGAAGAACGUAGCGAAAUGCGAUACGUAAUGUGAAUUGCAAAUUCAGUGAAUCAUCGAGUCUCUGAACGCACAUUGCGCCCCCUGGUAUUCCGGGGGGCAUGCCUGUCCGAGCGUCAUUACUGCCCUCAAGCCCGGCUUGUGUGUUGGGCCCCGUCCUCCGAUCCCGGGGGACGGGCCCGAAAGGCAGCGGCGGCACCGCGUCCGGUCCUCGAGCGUAUGGGGCUUUGUCACCCGCUCUGUAGGCCCGGCCGGCGCUUGCCGAUCAACCCCAAUUUUUAUAGGUUGACCUCGGAUCAGGUAGGGAUACCCGCUGAACUUAAGCAUAUCAAUAAGCGGAGGA
rnacentral:misc_RNA from 1 species